UGUACCACCUGUCACUCUUUCAACACAGUGCAAGUUCUCUGAUCCAGAGGUGAAGGCCGAUACCCGUCCUGAUAAAACAGAAGAUAGAAGCAGUACAGAUUACAUGUAAAGUUGAUGGAGACACAAUAACAAGGAAAUGAUGGAAAGAAAUAAGGCCAGGUAUUGUACGUACACAUAAGUCAAAACUAGGAGAUUUGGGUGUGGGACUCCCAAAUUUUCAAUAUUUCAAGAUUUCUGAGAAAAGAUAAAACAAAGGGACUUCCUGACAAUUCAUACCGGAGGCUGAGAAGGAGAGAAAGAAAUAAGGGAGAACCGAGAAGUGGGCUGAUAUGAAUAACUCCCCUCCUUGUAACCAGAGACGAGUCCAACCUGGCCACAAUGCCGCCAGUAAUAUUAACAGAUGUAAAUGUGAAAAGAAAGUUAUCUGUAAAUCUUCAUUUGUAUCAGGUAUUUGUAGAUUGAAAAAUAAAUGCUGCAGGUAUGGCAUUAAUAGAUUGUAAUGCUUGUAAGAGUUCAGAAAUGGUUAUUGCUUAGUAACCUUUGAAAAGUUGGGUGUCUGCCGUACGGACGUUAAUCGUCUCAGGUUAUCGCAGGGAUAUGAUUGGGUCUUGAAAAGAGAAAAAAAAAAUGAGCUGGUGGGUCCGGGGAAACACCUACCCGGAAAGUUUUUGCCAUGCUUAACUUAAUUUCUCACAUUCUUACUCGUUUCGUAAGUGCCUAAUACAGUGAACCCUCACUUUACGCGGUUAAUUCAACCCACGGCGGCCCGCGUAAAGUGAGAAAUGCGUAAAGUGAACAACAUAACAUAUGGGAUUAAUUGAAAUAGA